UACGUAGGGACCGAGCGUUGUCCGGAAUCAUUGGGCGUAAAGAGCGUGUAGGCGGCCUGUUAAGUCUUGCGUGAAAUCUCGGGGCUCAACCCCGAGCGGUCGUGAGAAACUGGCAGGCUAGAGUGCGGGAGAGGAGAUUGGAAUUCCUGGUGUAGCGGUGAAAUGCGCAGAUAUCAGGAAGAACACCCGUGGCGAAGGCGGCUCUCUGGGACGGUACUGACGCUGAGACGCGAAAGCGUGGGGAGCGAACAGG
rnacentral:rRNA from 1 species